rnacentral:rRNA from 1 species
AGAGUUUGAUCCUGGCUCAGAACGAACGCUGGCGGCGCGUUUUAAGCAUGCAAGUCGAGCGGCAGGGGCCUUUGGGCCCCUAGAGCGGCGGACGGGUGAGUAACACGUGGACAAUCUGCCCCCCGGCCGGGGAUAGCCCAGGGAAACCUGGAUUAAUACCGGAUGAGACGGGACCCGCGGAGGCGGGAUCCGGGAAAGGCGCUGCGGCGCCGCCGGGGGAUGAGUCUGCGUCCCAUUAGCUAGACGGCGGGGUGAAGGCCCACCGUGGCGACGAUGGGUAGCCGGCCUGAGAGGGUGGACGGCCACAUUGGAACUGAGACACGGUCCAGACUCCUACGGGAGGCAGCAGCUAAGAAUCUUCCGCAAUGGGCGAAAGCCUGACGGAGCGACGCCGCGUGAACGAAGAAGGCCGUGAGGUUGUAAAGUUCUUUUCGGGAGGGGGAACAACCGUGGCAGGGAAUGGCCGCGGGAUGACGUGAAUCCCGGAAUAAGCCCCGGCUAACUACGUGCCAGCAGCCGCGGUAACACGUAGGGGGCGAGCGUUGUUCGGAAUCAUUGGGCGUAAAGGGCGUGCAGGCGGUCCUGCAAGUCCGGCGUGAAAGACCCCGGCCCAACCGGGGGGGCGCGCUGGAAACUGCAGGGCUUGAGUACAGGAGGGGAUGCCGGAAUUCCAGGUGUAGGGGUGAAAUCUGUAGAUAUCUG